ACAUGCAAGUCGAGGGGCAGCACAUGAAGUAGCAAUACAGAUGGUGGCGACCGGCGCACGGGUGAGUAACACGUAUGCAACCUACCUCAACAGGAGAUAACCCGGCGAAAGUCGGACUAAUACUCCAUAAUACAGGGAUCCCGCAUGGGAAUAUUUGUUAAAGAUUUAUCGGUUGAAGAUGGGCAUGCGUUCCAUUAGCUAGUUGGUGAGGUAACGGCUCACCAAGGCAACGAUGUCUAGGGGUUCUGAGAGGAAGGUCCCCCCACACUGGAACUGAGACACGGUCCAGACUCCUACGGGAGGCAGCAGUGAGGAAUAUUGGACAAUGGAUGGAAAUCUGAUCCAGCCAUGCCGCGUGCAGGGAAAGACGGCCCUAUGGGUUGUAAACUGCUUUUGUAUGGGAGCAAUAAGGGCUACGUGUAGUCCGAUGAGAGUACCAUACGAAUAAGCACCGGCUAACUCCGUGCCAGCCGCAGC
rnacentral:rRNA from 1 species